rnacentral:lncRNA from 1 species
UCGAUCACUUUUGGCUUUUAUAUGAAAUUCCUUUUAAUUAAAAAUGUAUAAAUUACUCUCCAAGUAUAUCUCACUUAUUCUUUUCUUAAGAGAGGGACAUAAACUUGAGACAAUCUACAUUUAAAGUAAUAAUAAUCAUAACCUUUUAAUGCAAUUAGGUUCUUUCAUUAUUUGUUCAUUAAAAUUGCUAUAUGUUUGUUGCUGAAGUUACCCAAGCACUUAAAUGAUAACUUAUAUACAUGAAAAUAAUAAGGGAUAGUUACGUAAUUCUACCACCAUAUUCGG